ensembl:miRNA mdo-mir-1545c mdo-mir-1545c
AGUGCCCUGGGAUAGAUAAGAGGUCCCCUUAAAAUCCACUUUCCAUCCCUCGUACUGU